CAACGCCAUUUCCCCGACAGACAGCAAUUGCCCGAAGGUCUGUAUACUGUACAUAUUCGAGAAUCCGACAACUCAUCCAAAUUGAAAAUUCGUUUGACCUGAAAACUCAAAUGCACACGUGGGAUCCCUCGAACAAGGCCACAACACCAAAAGGGCUCUAAGAUUUUCCGCUGCUCUUUCUUCCGCUCCCCACAAUCUAAUUCGUGAAAUAAGGUCAGAUUAUCAGAUCCUCUUCUGCUGCCAGGGGUUGAAGUGUGGAUGGGGAUUCAGACGAUGAAUUCUCAUGUAAGUGGUGGUGGGCUGCAGUCUCAUGCACAACACCCAAUCGCACGACAAAACUCAUGGUUUAGCCUCACACUAGCUGAGGUCAGGAACCAGUUAGGUGAUUUGGAUAAACCAUUAGGCAGCAUGAACGUCGACGAAUUGCUUAACAAUGUGUGGGCUGCUGAGGCUAGCCACCCGUCCAGUAUGAACCAUAUUCGCACUUCCCCUGCCGCCUUGCUCCAGCGGCAGGCAAGCCUGUCGCUUAUAAGGGCUUUUAGUGGGAAGACGGUCGAUGAAGUAUGGAGGGACAUCCACCAAGGAUAUAAGAUAAGUAGUGUGAAGGAGAUUCAUAACCAGGAAACGGAGCCAACUCUUGGAGAGACGACAUUGGAGGAUUUCCUUGUGAAAGCUGGGCUGCAUGUAGCCAAUGCUUCUCUUGGACCUGUUAUGUCCUUGGAUAGUGCAUUGAACUCCCAGAAUUUUUCACCCCAAAUAGGGUCGUCACCUUCUCCUUCAAUUGAUGCAUUAUCAGAUACGCCACUGCCUGGUCGGAAGAGGCAAUCUGGAGACCUCGAGAAGUCCCUUGAGAGGAGGCUAAGACGAAAAAUUAAGAACAGGGAGUCCGCUGCACGCUCGCGGGCAAGAAAGCAGGCUUACCACAAUGAGUUGGUGAGCAAGGUGUCCCUUCUAGAAGAGGAAAACAUGAAGCUUAAGAAAGAAAAGUUGGUGAUUGGUGAUCAGACAGAGUUUCACAUGCAAGGCUUGACAAAAAGGAAUACUGCCCGCACGUGAAGAGCACCACGUGCAUGUUAGAGAUAUUAAAAACUACAUGAUUCUCCUCCUUCACAUCUUGAGCUUUUAGUUGAGAAAUUCGAGGAGAUGGUCUCUUGUGAUUUUUCCGAACCAAGGUACCAGCUUCGAAGAACGAGCUCAUUCUGACAUCACCACACAAGUUUUGUAGCUCAGACAAUCUUAGAGUGGGAGUCCCGCAGGUUUAUAGGUGAAGCCGUCGUGAACUAUAGUGUAGAGUUGAUGUGGCUGCUCUGCAGAUGUACUUUCCAUAGUACUCUGUUCGUGUGUACAUGUAUAAACUAUGUUUUCCUAGGGAGUACUAACCUUAUUCUUGAAGUCUUGAAGAGGUAAAACUAAAAGCAUGACAUAGUUGUCUUGUUAUAAA